rnacentral:lncRNA from 1 species
AUUUACAAUUGUGUGUUUGAGUGCAAUUGCAAAAGCAACCAUGCUGUUUUCUAGUCCUUAUGGUUUCCUAUAAAGUGCAAAAUGCUCUUAAAGCAGCUCCCAGGUGCUCCUGGUUGGCUCCGUAGAGUCGUUUAAGUCGGUUACUUGGAAACAGUGAGAAAACCUGGGCUGGUUAAUCUAUGCACCGAGUGACGCAUCUCCCCCUAGUGAGAAACAGCUCUGGAGGGAACCUUUCUUCUUGUGCAUCUCGUGUUUUAAAUUGUGACUGAGAAGUUAUGUGUGUGGUUGGUUUAUGCCAGCAUGUGGAGAGAGAGAGAAAGAAAAAAAAAAAAUCAGAAGGACUCUGCUUCCUUCUUCUGGAAGGAGUUGAGCUAAAGGACAAUCAGAUUCUGGGGUCUUCCUGGGACUUCCAUCUACUGGUGACGUGACUGGAGCAGGAGGGGGACCUGAGCCCAUGGCUGAGCUUGAAGUCCAGCCUUUCUUCUGCAGAAUUACACGCACAUUCCAGUUUCCAGCAUCUUCGUGGCUUUCUGGUAAGAAAAUGAUUGAACUGCAGGACAGUCUUGGAGAUCAGGG